rnacentral:ncRNA from 1 species
UGCGCAGCGCGUGCUUGAUCACCACGGCGCGAAAGCCCAGCCCCUUGAGGCGGGCGGUGCGGAUAUAUUGCUGCGUCAUCACCUCCACCAUGGAGGCCCGUGUCAUGCGCGCGAUAUAGCCGAUGCCGUAAAUCGCCAUCGUCAUCACCGGCAGGGUGA